GGUUGCAUACCAAAGUUGGUUAAUGGGCCAGAUUCAAGUUCCGCCAACUUUCGCUGAUAGCAGUGAAACCUGUCCUGGUGUCGAAAGACUCAUGGGUUCGAAUCCCAUUGCAACCA